rnacentral:rRNA from 1 species
AUGAACGCUGGCGGCGUGCCUAAUACAUGCAAGUCGAGCGAACAGACGAUGAUCUUGCUCCUCUGACGUUAGCGGCGGUCGGGUUAUUAACACGUUGAUAACCUACCUAUCAGACUUUGAUUACUUCGGGAAACCGUUGCUAAUACCUGAUAAUAUAUUUAACCUCCUUUUUCAAUAGUUAAACACGGUUUUUCUUUCACUUUUACAUUUAUCCGCGCCGCAUUAGCUAGUUGGUAAGUUAACGUCUUACCAAGGCAACGAUUCGUAGCCGACCUGAGAGGGUGAUCGGCCAAACGGGAACUGAGACACGGUAAAGACACCUACGGGAGGAAGCAGAAGGGAAUAUUCCGCAAUGGGCGAAAGCCUGACGGAGCAACGCAGCGUGAGAGAUGAAGGUCUACGGAUCGUAAAACUCUGUUAUUAGGGAAGAAAAAAAGUGUAAGUAACUAUGCACGUAUUGACGGUACCUAAACAGAAAGCAACGGCUAACUACGUG